rnacentral:rRNA from 1 species
GACAGAGGUGCCGAGCGUUAGGCGGAAUCACUGGGCUUAAAGCGUGUGUAGGCGGGCGGGCAAGUACCUUGUGAAAUCCCACGGCUCAACCGUGGAACGGCUGGGUAUACUGCCUGUCUUGAGCCAACUAGGGGCGAGCGGAACAGACGGUGGAGCGGUGAAAUGCGUAGAUAUCGUCUGGAACGCCAAAGGUGAAAACAGCUCGCUGGGGUUGUGCUGACGCUGAGACACGAAAGCCAGGGGAGCGAACGAG